rfam:Ictidomys tridecemlineatus contig023828, whole genome shotgun sequence.
GGGGUUGUGGCUCAGUGGUAGAGUGCUUGCCUGGUGCACGGGAGGCACUGGGUUCAAACCUCAGCACCA